rnacentral:rRNA from 1 species
GACGGGGGGGGCAAGUGUUCUUCGGAAUGACUGGGCGUAAAGGGCACGUAGGCGGUGAAUCGGGUUGAAAGUGAAAGUCGCCAAAAAGUGGCGGAAUGCUCUCGAAACCAAUUCACUUGAGUGAGACAGAGGAGAGUGGAAUUUCGUGUGUAGGGGUGAAAUCCGUAAAUAUACGAAGGAACGCCAAAAGCGAAGGCAGCUCGCUGGGACGGUACUGACGCUGAGACGCGAAAGCGUGGGGAGCAAACAGG